AUUGAACGCUGGCGGAAUGCUUUACACAUGCAAGUCGAACGGCAGCACGGACUUCGGUCUGGUGGCGAGUGGCGAACGGGUGAGUAAUGUAUCGGAACGUGCCCAGUCGUGGGGGAUAACGUAGUGAAAAUUACGCUAAUACCGCAUACGAUCUAUGGAUGAAAGCGGGGGAUCGCAAGACCUCGCGCGAUUGGAGCGGCCGAUAUCAGAUUAGGUAGUUGGUGGGGUAAAGGCCCACCAAGCCAACGAUCUGUAGCUGGUCUGAGAGGACGACCAGCCACACUGGAACUGAGAGACGGUCCAGACUACGACGGGAGGCAGCAGUGGGGAAUUUUGGACAAUGGGCGAAAGCCUGAUCCAGCCAUUCCGCGUGCAGGAUGAAGGCCCUCGGGUUGUAAACUGCUUUUGUACAGAACGAAAAGGUUUCUACAAAUACUAGGAGCUCAUGACGGUACUGUAAGGAUAAGCACCGGCUAACUACGUGCCAGCAGCCGCAGUAA
rnacentral:rRNA from 1 species